rnacentral:rRNA from 1 species
UACGUAGGAGGCAAGCGUUGUCCGGAAUUACUGGGCGUAAAGCGCGUGUAGGCGGCCUGGCAAGUGGAAGGUGAAAUCCCUCGGCUUAACCGAGGAACUGCCCUCCAAACUGCUUGGCUUGAGUCCGGGAGAGGUGAGUGGAAUUCCCAGUGUAGCGGUGAAAUGCGUAGAUAUUGGGAGGAACACCAGUGGCGAAGGCGGCUCACUGGACCGGAACUGACGCUGAGGCGCGAAAGCGUGGGGAGCAAACGGG